UACGUAGGGUGCAAGCGUUGUCCGGAAUUAUUGGGCGUAAAGAGCUCGUCGGCGGUCUGUCGCGUCGGCUGUGAAAUCCCGAGGCUCAACCUCGGGUCUGCAGUCGAUACGGGCAAACUGGAGUGUUGCAGGGGAGACUGGAAUUCCUGGUGUAGCGGUGAAAUGCGCAGAUAUCAGGAGGAACACCGGUGGCGAAGGCGGGUCUCUGGGCAACAACUGACGCUGAGGCACGAAAGCGUGGGGAGCAAACAGG
rnacentral:rRNA from 1 species